GCAGUCGAACGAGCUUCCGUUGAAUGACGUGCUUGCACUGAUUUUAACAAUGAAGCGAGUGGCGAACUGGUGAGUAACACGUGGGAAAUCUGCCCAGAAGCAGGGGAUAACACUUGGAAACAGGUGCUAAUACCGUAUAACAACAAAAUCCGCAUGGAUUUUGUUUGAAAGGUGGUUUCGGCUAUCACUUCUGGAUGAUCCCGCGGCGUAUUAGUUAGUUGGUGAGGUAAAGGCCCACCAAGACGAUGAUACGUAGCCGACCUGAGAGGGUAAUCGGCCACAUUGGGACUGAGACACGGCCCAAACUCCUACGGGAGGCAGCAGUAGGGAAUCUUCCACAAUGGACGAAAGUCUGAUGGAGCAAUGCCGCGUGAGUGAAGAAGGGUUUCGGCUCGUAAAACUCUGUUGUUAAAGAAGAACACCUUUGAGAGUAACUGUUCAAGGGUUGACGGUAUUUAACCAGAAAGCCACGGCUAACUACGUGCCAGCAGCCGCGGUAAUACGUAGGUGGCAAGCGUUGUCCGGAUUUAUUGGGCGUAAAGCGAGCGCAGGCGGUUUUUUAAGUCUGAUGUGAAAGCCUUCGGCUUAACCGGAGAAGUGCAUCGGAAACUGGGAGACUU
rnacentral:rRNA from 1 species